rnacentral:tRNA from 1 species
CAGGCCCUGGUGCUGGCGCCCGGCACGGCGCACCUGUACCGGGCGGACCGGGCCGACCCCUGGACACUUUGGUGGUUCCACGCCGCCGGGUCGGAC